GCCAGUGCGGUAUAGUGGUUUAAGUGUUGGACUAGGACUCUGGAGGCCAGGGUUCGAAUCUUCGCUCAGGCA